rnacentral:rRNA from 1 species
CCCUAGGGUCGUAAAGCUCUUUCGCCAGGGAUGAUAAUGACAGUACCUGGUAAAGAAACCCCGGCUAACUCCGUGCCAGCGGUCGCGGUAAUACGGAGGGGGUUAGCGUUGUUCGGAAUUACUGGGCGUAAAGCGCGCGUAGGCGGAUUAGUCAGUCAGAGGUGAAAUCCCAGGGCUCAACCCUGGAACUGCCUUUGAUACUGCUAGUCUUGAGUUCGAGAGAGGUGAGUGGAAUUCCGAGUGUAGAGGUGAAAUUCGUAGAUAUUCGGAGGAACACCAGUGGCGAAGGCGGCUCACUGGCUCGAUACUGACGCUGAGGUGCGAAAGUGUGGGGAGCAAACAGGAUUAGAUACCCUGGUAGUCCACACCGUAAACGAUGAAUGCCAGUCGUCGGGUAGCAUGCUAUUCGGUGACACACCUAACGGAUUAAGC